rnacentral:rRNA from 1 species
UACGUAGGCAGCGAGCGUUGUUCGGAUUUAUUGGGCGUAAAGGGCGCGUAGGCGGCUUGUCAAGUGGAUGGUGAAAUCCCUCGGCUUAACCGAGGAACUGCCAUCCAGACUGCUUUGCUUGAGGCCGGGAGAGGUAAGUGGAAUUCCCAGUGUAGCGGUGAAAUGCGUAGAUAUUGGGAGGAACACCAGUGGCGAAGGCGGCUUACUGGACCGGUUCUGACGCUGAGGCGCGAAAGCGUGGGGAGCAAACGGG